AGGUUCACUGCAGGUGCUCAACCUGUGUUCUGUGCCUCACUGAGCAAAAGAGAUUUCAAUUCACCAGGCAGAGCAUCGAGCAGAGCGCUGCUGUUUGGCUCCGCAUGAAUUAUAAAACAUCAGAGAACAGUUCUCAGCGCCGCCGAUUUGGUGUACUCCAACGAAAUAAAGGUUAUGGAGUCAGUCAUGGCAUCUCUCAGCUACGAGUGAAGCGUGGCUGCAGUCUGAAGUUCACAGUUCUUGUUCUGCGAACAGCAGCCCUCCACCGGCUCAGAUU